rnacentral:rRNA from 1 species
AUUGAACGCUGGCGGCAGGCCUAACACAUGCAAGUCGAACGAGAGGCGGACGGGUGAGUAAUGUCUGGGAAUAUGCCUGAUGGAGGGGGAUAACUACUGGAAACGGUAGCUACUACCGCAUACUAUCGGAUGUUCCCAGAUGGGAUUAGCUAGUAGGUGGGGUAAAGGCUCACCUAGGCGCCGAUCCCUAGCUGGUCUGAGAGGAUGACCAGCCACACUGGAACUGAGACACGGUCCAGACUCCUACGGGAGGCAGCAGUGGGGAAUAUUGCACAAUGGGCGCAAGCCUGAUGCAGCCAUGCCGCGUGUAUGAAGAAGGCCUUAGGGUUGUAAAGUACUUUCAGCGGGGAGGCGUUACCCGCAGAAGAAGCACCGGCUAACUCCGUGCCAGCAGCCGCGGUAAUUC